rnacentral:lncRNA from 1 species
AGAAAGGAAGGGGAAAAUCAAGCUAAGAGAGUUGGGGAGCUUGGAUCUACUUCCAUUUCAUCAGAGGAAGUUUGUUGAGGUAUCAUUCAGAGCUUAUUCUCGUGUUUUUGUUGUUAUGGUCAAAUCUAGGGUUUCUUCAUGCCUUGUUUGCCUUGUAUUUGGAGUGUGAGAGGUCCCAUGGGGAUAUGGUACCUAGAUCUGGACCUUAGUAGGUCCAGAGAGUCCCAAAUGCCAUGCUUUAUGUCCUUCCUUUUGGGUUGGAGACUAGGGUUGCCAUCUUAGAGGUCAUUUCUUCAAAAGGAGCCUUGUAGGUGUUGCAUGGUAGCCAAGACUGUGACUUUACGUGAUGAAUGAGCUUGGGAGGGCCAGAUCUAUGAGUUGAUGGAGCGGAUCUGACCUCAGAAGCGAGAUUGAGUUGAUGCAUGGCAUGGACUCGCCGAGUCCGAAGAACAGACUCGGCGAGUAGCAUGAAGAUUGUCCUUAACCACUCAGCGAGUGGUCUUGCCGAGUUAAGGGUUGACUCAGUGAGUCAGGGAGAGUUAGAGAGGGUUGACAGGUGGACUGAGUCGAGCUGGAACUCGCCGAGUUGUUCUUGAGACUCGGCGAGUUGAGUCGUGGUGGCCCCGCGAUUCAUGCCAGGUGGAACUCGUCGAGUCGGGGGUGUACUCGACGUGUCAGGAGAGGAUCCUAGAGAGUCAGUGAACACGUAUUGACUCGCCGAGUCCGGUCAAAGUUGACCGUUGACUGUUGACCAGAGUUGACCAGUGUUGACUUGAUAGGGGUAGUCAACCUUAGUGGUAAAAGUGUUAAUUAGAGAUAUAUGAUGUUAUAGGAGGAUUAUAGCUCGGAGGAUCGAGCACGAGUGAUUUCCAGGAUUCGCGAGUUAUCGAGAUAUACGAGGUGAGUCUUCUCACUAUACUUUACCUUGAGUAGGUAAUCAGAGUUAUGUGACAGAGUAUUUGUAUGCUAUAUGUAUGUUAUGUGUUGUACUGCAUUAUUUCUAUGUGAUUUAUGCUGUGCAUGUUUAUAGAGUUGGAACCGGAAGGUUCCCAGAGUUAGAACCAGUGGGUUCACAGAGUAGGGUCUACGGACCCACAGAGUUAUAGCCUCGAGUGGCUAAUAUGUGUUAUGUGUGGUAUUUUGGGGAACUCACUAAGCUUUGUGCUUACAGUGUUAGUGUUGUUUGUUUCAGGUACUAGUGAUGACCGUGGGAAGGCGCCGGCUUGAUCUGUACACACGCAUGGGAUUUUUAUGAUAUGUGAUCUUGGGAUUUUGUAUGAUAUGGAUUGGAGUUUUAAACUUGAUGUUUUAUGAAAAUUAAAUGAAAAUGUUUUUAUAUUAUGCGAAAAAUUAUUUUGAAAUUCACGGUGUUACAAUUUGGUAUCAGAGCCUUGGUUUGAGGGAUUCGAGUACACCUUCGGGCGUAUUUGAACUCAAACUGAGGAUUUGAGAAGUAUUUUCAAAAAGAGUAAAAGAUUUUUGGAAAAACGCAGAGCAGAGUUGUGUGUACGAUCAGUCCGCGCCCGAACGGUGAUUUCCCAAAAUACCCUCAUGUUAUGUGAUAUUGAUAUUGAUAUGAUGUAUUCUCAUGCUAGAGUAGGCUAGGUAUUCCUAUUAGGACUAGAGUGGCCUGAUUUGUGAUGCCUUAGCCUAGGAAGAGGUGAGCUGCUAUGAGAUGCUUGAGAGUGAGUAGGUAGCAGCGAGGGGCUUAUGAGAGAUCUGUUAGAGAGUGGAUUGUGCAUGAUAGAGUACUUGGAAUUUGGGAUCCGAAGAGGAGGACUUGGGGUGUAUUCUGAUACGGUGCGGACAGUAGUAUUGGGCCCGUACUACUGAAAGCACCGGAGCGGUGUACAGCCCAAGUAAGAAUCUUUGGAAUACCAAGGAUCAAGGAGGAAUGAGUUGUCGAGUGUGAGUAUGCUCGAAUGGAUUCUAAUUUAUCGUAUGUUGUAUUUCAGAGGUAGAUCAUGGUGAGGACACGUUUGAUGCCUGAGAGCAGUGAUACCAGUGAUGAGGAGAUCCGCCGGAUCAUCCAUGAGGAGGUGGCUGCGGCCAUCAGGGCAGAGAUACCAGAGAUGUUCGGGUCUAUUAAGACCACGCUGAUUGAGACCUUCGACGAGCGUUAUGCCGCUCUUUCUGAGGCUGCUGUUGCAGCGGCCACCGCAGCUAUUGCUGCCGCGAGGCCGCAGGGUGGUGAUGCGUUGCUGUUCCGAGAGUUCAGCAACACAAAACCGCCAGAGUUUGAUGGGACCCAGGACCCGGUGGCGGCUAUGAGAUGGAUUUCUGACAUAGAGGGGUGUUUCUUCACUUGCUCAUCUCCUGAGCAUUUGAAGGUUCGGUUCGCGCUGAACCAGCUUCGCUUGGGAGCGAAGGACUGGUGGAAGUUUGUGACGGCGCAUUUUACGCCUGCUGAGCUUGCGGCAGUGACCUGGGAGAGGUUCACUGCCAUGUUCCGAGAUGAGUACGUUCCCCAGGUGGAGAGGGAGCGUUUGGCCCAGGAGUUUCUGACCCUCAAGCAGGGUACUGAGUCUGUUACGGUGAUUACCAGGAUGUUCCAUGAGAGGGCGAUGUUCUGCCCUGAGCACGUGUCCACUGAGCAGGCACGUAUGAGCCGAUAUUUGAGUAUCUUGAGGCGAGACAUUCGGGAGUUCGUGGCGAACUCCUCGUACCGGACAUUUGCCGAGCUUCAGGCAAAUGCCCGGAAGAGGGAGAUUGAGCUAGAGACUCAGGCCAGGGAGGAGGCGGAGUCUCAGGGGAGGGAUCGGCGACCGGCACAGUCUCAGCCGGCAGCCAAGCGGGCCAAGCCCGCUGAUCCCAAACCAGGGAGCCAGAAGGGCCGCACUUGUGGGAAGUGUGGCAAGGGUCAUGAUGGAGUCUGCAGAGCGGGAUCUUGCUACAAGUGUGGCAAGGAGGGGCAUAUGGCCAAGGACUGCCCCAAGGGGUUUGCGGUGUGUUUUCACUGCAACCAGACCGGACACCGGAAGGCAGAGUGUCCGCAGUUGUGAGGAUCAUCUCAGGGAGCACCUCAGGGAUCUGCCCCUGCUGCCAUCAGAGCUACAGAGAGUCGGCCAGUGAAGGCCGAGGCGCCGAGGGCACGAGGGAGAGCUUUUCAGCUGACCGCGGAGGAGGUCCGCGCAGCGCCCGAUGUCGUGGCUGGUAUGUAUUCUUUCGUGUAUUUAUUUUGAUGUUGAGAUAUUAUGCUUAUAUUAUGUUAUGCGUAGGUACUUUUCUUGUGAAUUCUGUACCUGCCUUGGUGUUAUUUGACUCGGGUGCGAGUCGGUCUUUUGUAUCUUUGGCUUUUAGUCAGCAUAUCAGUGUUAGUCGUGAGGCGUUGAGUCGGCCUCUGAGAGUUUCCAUAGCUGACGAGAGGGUGAUAUAUGCCACGGAGGUUCUCCGAGGGUGCGUAGUCGAGAUUUUCGGUGUUGAGUUCCCGAUUGAUCUGGUUCCUAUUGCGAUGGGUGAUGUCUGUGUCAUUGUGGGCAUGGACUGGUUGAGCAGAUUCGGUGCGGUUAUCGACUGCGAGCGACAGCUGGUGACCAUACGAGACCCUAGUGGGGGAGUUCUUACGGUGUACGGCGAGGGUACACGUUCUGGAUCAGCGUUUUGUUCGGCCGCUAGGGCAAGGCAGUGUCUACAGCAGGGCUGUAAGGGUUUUGUGGCGUAUGUGAUGGAUACGCGGGUGGAUUCCGAGAGACCGAGGUCAGUUGAGGAGGUUCCGGUAGUGCGUGAGUUCCCGGAUGUAUUUCCCGAGGAGUUGCCGGGUGUGCCUCCUGUGAGGCAAGUGGAGUUCAGUAUCGAUUUGGUUCCGGGGGCCGCGCCUAUCGCUAAGGUGCCUUAUCGCCUUGCACCUCCAGAGAUGCAAGAGUUAUCCUCGCAGCUUCAGGAGCUGCUGGGGAAGGGGUUUAUUCGGCCGAGCAGCUCGCCGUGGGGAGCGCCUAUCCUGUUCGUCAAGAAGAAGGAUGGUUCACACCGGAUGUGCAUUGAUUACCGGGAGUUGAACAAGCUGACGGUCAAGAACCGUUACCCGUUGCCGAGGAUCGACGAUUUGUUCGAUCAGUUGCAGGGAGCAUCUUGGUUCUCCAAGAUCGAUUUGAGGUCUGGAUAUCAUCAGGUGAGGGUGCGGGAUGAGGACGUCCAGAAGACAGCGUUCAGGACGCGUUAUGGGCAUUAUGAGUUUGUGGUGAUGCCUUUUGGGCUCACCAAUGCCCCGGCAGUGUUCAUGGAUCUCAUGAACCGAGUGUGUAGGCCGAUGCUGGAUCGGUCGGUGAUUGUAUUUAUCGACGACAUUCUGGUAUAUUCGAGAUCUAGAGAGCAGCAUGAGGAGCAUUUGAGAGAGGUUCUCGGAGUUCUGAGAUCGGAGAGGCUUUAUGCCAAAUUCUCCAAGUGUGAUUUCUGGUUGCGGGAGGUCCAGUUCUUAGGACAUCUCGUUAACCAGGAAGGGAUAUUGGUCGAUCCGGCCAAGGUUGAGGCGGUGAUGAGUUGGGAGGUGCCGAAGUCACCCUCCGAGAUCAGGAGUUUCCUAGGGUUGGCAGGGUAUUAUCGGAGGUUUAUCAAGGAUUUCUCUAAGAUCGCAGUGCCACUCACCAGAUUGACCCGGAAGGGUGUUGCUUUUUCAUGGGGCCCCGAGCAGCAGGCCUCCUUUGAGACACUUCGCCAAAGGUUGUGCGAAGCCCCGGUGUUAGCCCUCCCGGAAGGGAUGGAGGACUUUGUGGUAUACUGUGAUGCAUCGAUUUUGGGGUUGGGAGCGGUGCUGAUGCAGAGAGGGCAUGUGAUAGCAUAUGCAUCGAGGCAGCUGAAGCCUCAUGAGACGAGAUAUCCCACCCAUGAUCUAGAGUUGGGGGCAGUGGUGUUCGCCCUCAAGAUUUGGCGUCACUACUUGUAUGGGGUUCGGUGUACGAUAUACACGGACCAUAAGAGUUUGAAGUAUUUGAUGGAUCAGCCCAACCUAAAUAUGCGUCAGAGAAGGUGGUUGGAUGUGGUCAAGGAUUAUGAUUGUGAGAUCCUGUACCACCCAGGCAAGGCUAAUGUGGUAGCCGAUGCAUUGAGCCGCAGGGCGGAGAGCACCCCGCUGCGGGAUGUAUGUUUGAGAUUGACCGUGAUAGCUCCAGUGUUGGACGCCAUUCGUGGGGCACAGGCCGAGGCUGUGCAACCUGAGAUGCAGAAGAGGGAACGGGUUGUUGGUUUGGUUUCAGAGUUCGUUACCGAUGGUCGGGGGCUUAUGACAUUUCAGGGGCGUAUCUGGGUGCCGUUUGUGGGAGGAACGCGUACCAUUUUGAUGGAGGAGGCUCAUCGGUCGAAAUUUUCGAUCCAUCCGGGGGCCACUAAGAUGUAUUUGGAUCUGAGAAAGGAGUAUUGGUGGCCCUGUAUGAAGAGGGAUGUCGCGUGGUUUGUUGAGAGGUGCUUGACCUGCCGUAGGGUUAAGGCCGAGCACCAGAGGCCGCAUGGUAAGUUGCAGCCAUUGGAGGUUCCCGAAUGGAAGUGGGAACAGAUCACUAUGGAUUUCAUCACCAAAUUGCCAAGGACUGCCAGAGGAGUUGAUGCAAUUUGGGUGAUUGUGGACAGAUUGACGAAGAGCGCUCACUUCCUUGCUAUCAGCGAGAGUUCUUCAGCAGAGAAAUUGGCGGAGGUGUAUGUGAGGGAAGUGGUAUCUCGGCAUGGGGUGCCGAUCUCGAUUGUUUCAGACCGUGAUGUGCGCUUCACUUCCAGAUUCUGGAAGAAGUUUCAUGAGGAGUUGGGUACUAGACUGCAUUUUAGUACCGCAUAUCAUCCCCAGACAGACGGUCAGAGUGAGCGGACGAUUCAGACGCUCGAGGACAUGCUCCGGGCAUGUGUGUUGGAUUUCGGGGGUAGCUGGGAUGCAUAUUUGCCCUUGGCAGAGUUUUCCUACAACAACAGCUAUCAUUCGAGCAUUGGUAUGCCACGCUUUGAGCUGUUGUAUGGGAGGAGGUGUCGGACCCCCAUUUGUUGGGGAGAGGUUGGACAACGGGUGAUGGGCAGUACAGAGAUCGUGCUUCAGACGACAGAGCAGAUCCAGCAGGUCAGACAGAUGUUUUUGACCGCUCAGAGUCGUCAGAAGAGUUAUGCAGACAGACGUCGGUCCGAGCUUGAGUUUCAGGUCGGCGACCUUGUACUCCUGAAGGUCUCUCCUUGGAAAGGAGUGAUUCGAUUCAGGAAGAGGGGCAAGUUGGGGCCCCGAUAUAUUGGUCCUUUCCGUGUGAUCGCGAGGGUAGGCCGGGUAGCCUAUCGUUUGGAUUUGCCAGCAGAGUUGGGGCAGAUUCACGACACUUUUCAUGUGUCACAGCUGAGGAAGUGUAUAGCCGACGAGUCGGCAGUGGUUCCAUUAGAGGAUAUUCAGGUGGAUGCGAGCCUGAAUUAUGUUGAGAGACCAGUGGCCAUCAGAGAUCGAAAAAUCAAGGUACUGAGGAACAAGGAGGUACCCCUGGUUUUGGUUCUGUGGCAGCAUCGGAAGUGGUCCGAGAUGACUUGGGAACCGGAGCGUGAUAUGCGUGAGCACCAUCCAGAGUUAUUUGCAGAGCGGGAUUCGAGGGCGAAGUCUAUUUCUAGUGGGGGAGAAUUGUAACAGCCCGGAUUCCCAGGUAUUGUUCAUUUAUUUAUUUUGAUAAUUUGUGAGAAGAACUCGGCAAGUUGGAGCCUAGACUCGCCGAGUAAGAUCGCAGAUUUGGACGCGGGUUCACGUCUGGACUCAGCGAGUCCAAGGAAUGGACUCAGCGAGUCCGCGCUAUUUAGUGAAACCCUAAUUUCCCGGUCCUAAGCCCUAUUUAAAGGACCUUAUGGCCCUUCAUUGCGGCUACCUUGACCUUGAGAGCACAUAAAUAGAUGAGAGUUCUUGUGAGUGAGAUAAGAGGCCAUUAUUCACCAAUUUUGUGUGUAUUUGCAAGAAAGGAAGGGGAAAAUCAAGCUAGGAGAGUUGGGGAGCUUGGAUCUACUUCCAUUUCGUCAGAGGAAGCUUCUUGAGGUAUCAUUCAGAGCUUAUUCUCGUGUUAUUGUUGUUAUGGUCAAAUCUAGGGUUUCUUCAUGCCUUGUUUUCCUUGUAUUUGGAGUGUGAGAGGUCCCAUGGGGAUAUGGUACCUAGAUCUGGACCUUAGUAGGUCCAGAGAGUCCCAAAUGCCAUGCUUUAUGUCCUUCCUUUUGGGUUGGAGACUAGGGAUGCCAUCUUAGAGGUCAUUUCUUCAAAAGGAGCCUUGUAGGUGUUGCAUGGUAGCCAAGAUUGUGACUUUACGUGAUGAAUGAGCUUGGGAGGGCCAGAUCUAUGAGUUGAUGGAGCGGAUCUGACCUCAGAAGCGAGAUUGAGUUGAUGCAUGGCAUGGACUCGCCGAGUCCGAAGAACAGACUCGGCGAGUAGCAUGAAGAUUGUCCUAAACCACUCAGCGAGUGGUCUUGCCGNCCUUGCCAAGUUAAGGGUUAACUCAGUGAGUCAGGGAGAGUUAGAGAGGAUUGACAUGUGGACUGAGUCGAGCUGGAACUCGCCGAGUUGUUCUUGAGACUCGGCGAGUUGAGUCGUGGUGGCCCCGCGAUUCAUGCCUGGUGGGACUCGUCGAGUUGGGAGUGUACUCGAUGUGUCAGGAGAGGAUCCUAGAGAGUCACUGAACACGUAUAGACUCACCGAGUCACCCUAGUGCACUCGCCGAGUCCGGUCAAAGUUGACCGUUGACUGUUGACCAUAGUUGACAGUGUUGACUUGAUAGGGGUAGUCAACCUUAGUGGUAAAAGUGUUAAUUAGAGAUAUAUGAUGUUAUAGGAGGAUUAUAGCUCGGAGGAUCGA